rnacentral:rRNA from 1 species
GACGAACGCUGGCGGCGUGCUUAACACAUGCAAGUCGAACGGAAAGGCCCUGCUUUUGUGGGGUGCUCGAGUGGCGAACGGGUGAGUAACACGUGAGUAACCUGCCCUUGACUUUGGGAUAACUUCAGGAAACUGGGGCUAAUACCGGAUAGGAGCUCCUGCUGCAUGGUGGGGGUUGGAAAGUUUCGGCGGUUGGGGAUGGACUCGCGGCUUAUCAGCUUGUUGGUGGGGUAGUGGCUUACCAAGGCUUUGACGGGUAGCCGGCCUGAGAGGGUGACCGGCCACAUUGGGACUGAGAUACGUCCCAGACUCCUACGGGAGGCAGCAGUGGGGAAUAUUGCACAAUGGGCGGAAGCCUGAUGCAGCAACGCCGCGUGCGGGAUGACGGCCUUCGGUUUGUAAACCGCUUUCGCCUGUGACGAAGCGUGAGUGACGAUAAUGGGUAAAGAAGCACCGGCUAACUACGUG